UACGGAGGGUGCGAGCGUUAUCCGGAAUCACUGGGUUUAAAGGGUGCGUAGGCGGUCAGAUAAGUCAGUCGUGAAAUUCCCCGGCUUAACCGGCGGGACUGCGAUUGAUACUGUUUGACUUGAAUCAAGUUGAGGCAGGCGGAAUGUGACAUGUAGCGGUGAAAUGCUUAGAUAUGUCAUAGAACACCGAUUGCGAAGGCAGCUUGCUGGGCUUUGAUUGACGCUGAGGCACGAAAGCGUGGGGAGCAAACAGG
rnacentral:rRNA from 1 species